rnacentral:rRNA from 1 species
UACGUAGGGUGCGAGCGUUGUCCGGAAUUAUUGGGCGUAAAGAGCUCGUAGGCGGCCUGUCGCGUCGGAUGUGAAAGCCCGGGGCUUAACCCCGGGUCUGCAGUCGAUACGGGCAGGCUAGAAUUCGGUAGGGGAGACUGGAAUUCCUGGUGUAGCGGUGAAAUGCGCAGAUAUCAGGGGGAACACCGGUGGCGAAGGCGGGCCUCUGGGCCGAUAUUGACGCUGAGGAGCGAAAGCGUGGGGAGCGAACAGG